UUGAGGCAGCUGCCCUGGGAGCUCCAAAGGGAGGGCGAGGCCAGGGGUUUGAGACUGAGGCCUUGACACCAAAAAUCCGCUUCCUCGUUCUGAUGCCAGCAGGUUGCAGACCGUUAAUGCUGGAGCAAGAAUAUCACAGACCUUUUCGGGCUGUUUGCCAAGCUGCCAUACAUAGAACUCCGGAGUAUCCUGCUAGAAAGACCACAUGGAGGAGGAGGCAACAGCCAGUAACCCCAGCUAACUACCAGGCACAUGUAUGGGGCCAUCUUGAACCAUCCAGUCCCAAUCAAGACCCAGAUGACAGCAUUGCAAAGAGGAUUCUGACCCCUGGAACUCCCUAGCGCCAUCAGAAUUAUGGCACGUGGACUGCUGCUUCACAAUGAAAAGCACGAAAGGCAAUUAGAAAAAUUAAAGAAGACUUAAAUAAACGGAGAGAAAUACCAAAUAAAGUUUGGAAAACGCAAAGUAUAUGAUGUCUGUUCUCUCUGAAUUAAUCUAUAAAUUCACAGUGUCAAUCAAAAUCC